CAGAGUCUUCAUACGGAGUGGGGAACACCACCAGUUUCUCAUCUGUGUUCAUGAGCUGUCCACACGGAAUCUAAAAGAAAAAAAAAAAUGAAGGACGUGAGGCUCAGAUGUGUCUCAAAUGAAGUUUACUAUCCCGGCCAGAUGCGAGAAGAUAGACCACGAGCUUACCUUCUGCCGGGUCCUAAUCAAAGAGUCUCGCUUUG